rnacentral:rRNA from 1 species
CUACGGGUUGCUGCAGUGGGGAAUAUUGGACAAUGGGCGAAAGCCUGAUCCAGCAAUACCGCGUGGACGAUGAAGGCCUUAGGGUUGUAAAGUCCUUUCAGUAGGGAAGAUAAUGACGGUACCUACAGAAGAAGCACCGGCUAACUCCGUGCCAGCAGCCGCGGUAAUACGGAGGGUGCUAGCGUUGUUCGGAAUUAUUGGGCGUAAAGCGUACGUAGGCUGUUUCGUAAGUCAGUUGUGAAAGCCCAGAGCUUAACUCUGGAACUGCAAUUGAAACUACGGAACUAGAGUAUAAUUGGAGAUGGCAGAAUUUCUAGUGUAGGGGUGAAAUCCGUAGAUAUUAGAAGGAAUACCAGUGGUGAAGACGGCUAUCUUGGUUGUAACUGACGCUAAGGUACGAAGGUGUGGGUAGCGAACGGGAUUAGAUACCCUUGUAGUC